AGAGUUUGAUCCUGGCUCAGAGCGAACGCUGGCGGCAGGCUUAACACAUGCAAGUCGAGCGGGCACUUCGGUGUCAGCGGCAGACGGGUGAGUAACACGUGGGAACGUACCCUUCGGUUCGGAAUAACUCAGGGAAACUUGAGCUAAUACCGGAUACGCCCUUUGGGGGAAAGGUUUACUGCCGAAGGAUCGGCCCGCGUCUGAUUAGCUAGUUGGUGGGGUAACGGCCUACCAAGGCGACGAUCAGUAGCUGGUCUGAGAGGAUGAUCAGCCACACUGGGACUGAGACACGGCCCAGACUCCUACGGGAGGCAGCAGUGGGGAAUAUUGGACAAUGGGCGCAAGCCUGAUCCAGCCAUGCCGCGUGAGUGAUGAAGGCCUUAGGGUUGUAAAGCUCUUUCGACGGGGACGAUAAUGACGGUACCCGUAGAAGAAGCCCCGGCUAACUUCGUGCCAGCAGCCGCGGUAAUACGAAGGGGGCUAGCGUUGCUCGGAAUCACUGGGCGUAAAGGGCGCGUAGGCGGAUACUUAAGUCAGGGGUGAAAGCCCGAGGCUCAACCUCGGAACUGCCUUUGAUACUGAGUAUCUUGAGACCGGUAGAGGUAAGUGGAACUGCGAGUGUAGAGGUGAAAUUCGUAGAUAUUCGCAAGAACACCAGUGGCGAAGGCGGCUUACUGGACCGGUUCUGACGCUGAGGCGCGAAAGCGUGGGGAGCAAACAGGAUUAGAUACCCUAGUAGUCC
rnacentral:rRNA from 1 species